ensembl:lncRNA
GAACUACAGGUGGAUGUCACCAGCCCAGCUAAUUUUUGUAUUUUUUGCACAGACAGGUUUUCGCCAUGUGGUCCAGGCUGGUCUCAAACUCCUGAGCUCAAGGAAUCCGCCCACCUCAGCCUCCCAGAGUGCUGGGAUUACAGACAUGAGCCACCACACCCUGCCUCAGGAUACAAUUUUUAAACUACAGAAAGUCAAGGGUUCUGUCAGAAUCUACUCUUAAAAUACAAUCCACGUGUAAAGAAGCUGAUACAACAGCAAUAUCCAAGAUGAAAAAUGGACCAGAAGAGACCAAGACAGGAAAUGGGAAGAUUCAUUUGAAGAAAUGAGUGGAGAAAUGACUAGCUCAGAUAUUUCAAAAGGGCAAUCCUCUGGGGCCUGCACAGGCCAAGAGCAGACCAUCUCAAGUUCUUUGCAGCAUAUACUGUUUAGAGAUUUUCCUUCUAUAAAUGAAAGAUGACUCUAUAAAAAAAAAUAAAGCGGAGUUCUCAGUUUUAAGUGCAGUUUUAGAAAGUUUUAGUUAUAUCUCAACUGAGAAGUCCACAUUUAGAGAACCCUUCAAGGCAUAAUUACAGGUAGGUAUCAGGACUACGGGUAUCUUAAUUGAAGGGAAAAUAAAUUUUAGGAACGCCACAGUUAAGUAACACCUAAAGUCGAGCUAAGCCUGAUUAUAUUUUAUAAUACAUGACUAAAAAGCUCAUUUUGGUCUUUUGAGAACAUAGCAACAAAGAGGAUAAAAUUCUAUUUUUUACAUCAGUUUUCAACAUUUCCUUCAGGAUUAUGAGCCAAAAUAUGUGUGUCAGAAAUCCUUUGGAAAUCUUUCAUAGAAUGUACAAUAACAUUCAAUUUAACACAACACGCCAAGUCCUCUGUGUAUUCGAGGUGUGAACUGCUGACUGCCAAAAUAUGAUGUUCACACGGGAUGAUGUAAAAGACCUCUCUAGCAGAGCGAGGAUCUCCUCACCAAAAUCAAACCUACCACCUUAAAGUCAUGUAUUUUAAAAUGAAUUUCUUUACAAUUUCAUUUUUAUUUUGCAAAAGACUAAGAUAUAACUUUGACAUUAAUGACUUUUUAAAUUCUAUUGAUUUAUAUUAAAAGGUAGAUGCACCCUACAGUUUUACUCUUCAAGGGUAGCAACAUGUAUGUAGAGUCUUAAGGGAGAAGAUAUUGCAAGGAGCUACAAGGAACAGAAUAAAAGAGGAGGAAAUCAUCUAAAUGUGACCUCUGAAAGCCCUUUUGGUAUGUGAUAAAAUUUAUUUAGACCACUCGACAUAAUUGUAUGUAGCUAGAUAUUAUUGUCAGUAUAACACAUCUGUUACAAUUAAUGCAUCUAUUAUAUUGAUAAUUACUAACUAAAGCCCAUACUGUUUUCGAAUUCGCUUGUUUUUUACCUAGUUUCCUCUUCUGAUCUAGGAGUCCAUUCAAGAUAUUACAUUAGCUUUGGAUGUUCGGUCUCCUGAGGCUCUUUUUGGCUGUGAUGAUUUCUUAGACUUUUUAUCUUUUUGAGAUAACUUUGGGAGUUUUGAGCUGUUGUGGUCAGGUAUUAUGUAGAACGCUUCUUCACUGGGAUUCAUCUGAUGAUUUUUUUAUAAUUACACUGGAGUUAUAGGUUUGAGAGAGUGGGACCGCAGAAUCAAAGUGGCAUCCUUAUCAUAUCACAUCAAGGUACAUGCUAUCAACAUGACUUUCCGCUUUGAAGUUGACCUUCAUCACCUGAAUGAGAGGUGUUGUCAGGUUUGUCGACUUUAAAUUUACUCUUUUUCCAUUCUUUCCAAACUGUAUCUUUUAAGUCACUAUGUGCAGCCCGCACUUGAACAGUCGAGGAUUGUGCUCAUAAUUCAUCAGUGGCGCUACAGGAAUACAGAGGAAAGGAGCCAGAAGGUUUCUGUGUGAUGUGUCUUGCCUCAUCCUUUUGUUUAUUACUAUGUACCAAGACUUUUUUUACACAUAGAAAGUUAAUGUUGUAUUAAUAAAUUCAGUAUGUAGCUUCAAAAUAAAAUAAAUUAUUAAAGUAUUUGGAACUGUGUCUACAUAGGAGAUUUGUCUACACUCCUGAAUUCAUUUGGUUAUAUUAGCAUGAGCUCAUAGCCAUGCACUUUAUACAUUAGGUUAUAAUCCAUACUACUUACUAGGGACCAUAUUGCUCAAGUUUUUCCAGCCUUGGUGAGGGGCAGUGCUUUCAGUUAGCUCUGGUCCCUUUGACAUACUCUCAUAAUCGUGGGAGUUUUAUUUGAACACUUCCUUAGCUUUGGAAACUACAAGAUGCCCCAGACUCCUCUUGUCUAUUUCCUGUCCCAGUCUUAGAAUCAGUGAUUUAUCUAAGGAGCUCUAGUUCUCUUCACUGGGUAAUAGUAUUAGAAACCAACAUCUGGGCACAAAGUGUGUUCGCUGCUGCUAGGAUAGCCCAAGCUCUCUCAGCUGAUGGCAGGAAA